UACGUAGGGCGCAAGCGUUGUCCGGAAUUAUUGGGCGUAAAGAGCUCGUAGGCGGCCUGUUGCGUCCGCUGUGAAAUCCCGGGGCUCAACCCCGGGCGUGCAGUGGAUACGGGCUGGCUGGAGGCAGGCAGGGGAGAACGGAAUUCCUGGUGUGGCGGUGAAAUGCGCAGAUAUCAGGAGGAACACCGGUGGCGAAGGCGGUUCUCUGGGCCUGUACUGACGCUGAGGAGCGAAAGCGUGGGGAGCGAACAGG
rnacentral:rRNA from 1 species